rnacentral:rRNA from 1 species
GACGAACGCUGGCGGCGUGCCUAAUACAUGCAAGUCGAGCGAGCGGCGGACGGGUGAGUAAUGUCUGGGAAACUGCCUGAUGGAGGGGGGUAACUACUGGACACGGUAGCUAAUACCACAUACCAUCAGCUGUGCCCAGAUGGGCUUUGCUAGUAGGUGGGGUAACGGCUCACCUAGGCGACGAUCCCUAGCUGGUCUGAGAGGAUGACAAGCCAAACUGGAACUGAGACACGGUCCAGACUCCUACGGGAGGCAGCAGUGGGGAAUAUUGGACAAUGGGCGAAAGCCUGAUGCAGCCAUGCCGCGUGUAUGAAGAAGGCCUUCGGGUUGUAAAGUACUUUCAGCGGGGAGGCGUUACCCGCAGAAGAAGCACCGGCUAACUCCGUGCCAGCCGCCGCGGUAAUAC